rnacentral:rRNA from 1 species
UACGUAGGGUGCGAGCGUUAAUCGGAAUUACUGGGCGUAAAGCGUGCGCAGGCGGUUUUGUAAGCCAGAUGUGAAAGCCCCGGGCUCAACCUGGGAAUGGCAUUUGGGACUGCAAGGCUUGAGUGCGGCAGAGGAGACUGGAAUUCCUGGUGUAGCAGUGAAAUGCGUAGAUAUCAGGAGGAACACCGAUGGCGAAGGCAGGUCUCUGGGCAUUAACUGACGCUGAGGAGCGAAAGCAUGGGGAGCGAACAGG